UACGGAGGGUGCAAACGUUGCUCGGACUUACUGGGCGUAAAGGGAGCGUAGGCUGUCUAUCAAGUCAGAUGUGAAAGCCCAGGGCUCAACCCUGGAAUUGCAUUUGAUACUGAUAGGCUAGAGUGCAUUAGAGGAGAGUAGAAUUCCUGGUGUAGCAGUGAAAUGCGUUGAGAUCAGGAGGAAUACCAGUGGCGAAGGCGACUCUCUGGGAUGCAACUGACGCUGAGGCUCGAAAGCGUGGGGAUCAAACAGG
rnacentral:rRNA from 1 species